GAUGAAGAACGUAGCGAAAUGCGAUAAGUAAUGUGAAUUGCAGAAUUCAGUGAAUCGUCGAAUCUUUGAACGCACAUUGCGCCCGCCAGUAUUCUGGCGGGCAUGCCUGUUCGAGCGUCAUUUCAACCAUCAAGCCCCAGGCUUGUGUUGGAGCCCUGCGGCUGCCGCAGCCUCCCAAAACCAGUGGCGGGCUCGCUAUCACACCGAGUGCAGUAGUUUACUCUUCGCUCAGGGCGUGUGGCGGGUGCUAGCCGUAAAACCCCCAACUUCUCAAGGUUGACCUCGGAUCAGGUAGGAAUACCCGCUGAACUUAAGCAUAUCAAUAGCGGAGGA
rnacentral:misc_RNA from 1 species